UUAGGGCCUUCCAAUGUAUUUUCUGACUUUUCUAGCUGCUCCCAGUCAACAUGGCAGGUCUCACAGUCAGAUGUUUACCCUCAUAUGAGAUGAUAAUUGUCAUGCUUUAGAGUCCUCGUUUACUAUAACAGUGUUCUACGUCCCGACCACUAAGAGUUCUAUCACAGUGUUCUACGUCCCGACCACUAAGAGUUCUAUCACAGUGUUCUACGUCCCGACCACUAAGAGUUCUAUCACAGUGUUCUACGUCCCGACCACUAAGAGUUCUAUAACAGUGUUCUACGUCCCGACCGCUAAGAGUUCUAUAACAGUGUUCUACGUCCCGACCGCUAAGAGUUCUAUAACAGUGUUCUACGUACCGACCACUAAGAGUUCUAUCACAGUGUUCUACGUCCCGACCACUAAGAGUUCUAUCACAGUGUUCUACAUCCCGACCACUAAGAGUUCUAUAACAGUGUUCUACGUCCCGACCGCUAAGAGUUCUAUAACAGUGUUCUACGUACCGACCACUAAGAGUUCUAUAACAGUGUUCUACGUCCCGACCGCUAAGAGUUCUAUCACAGUGUUCUACGUCCCGACCGCUAAGAGUUCUAUCACAGUGUUCUACGUCCCGACCGCUAAGAGUUCUAUAACAGUGUUCUACGUCCCGACCGCUAAGAGUUCUAUCACAGUGUUCUACGUCCCGACCGCUAAGAGUUCUAUAACAGUGUUCUACGUCCCGACCGCUAAGAGUUCUAUCACAGUGUUCUACGUCCCGACCGCUAAGAGUUCUAUAACAGUGUUCUACAUCCCGACCACUAAGAGUUCUAUCACAGUGUUCUACGUAGGGUUAUAGCUGUUCUAUGUUCUCUCCCAAGAAUCUGAUGUGUUCCACGUCCCGACCAGUGGUACAUCAGGAGAGAACCUGACCACUAAGUGUUCUGCUCCAAAGCUAACAUCCUGGUACUUUGGAGCCUGCCUUUUGGACCAGAACGGAACGGACACACGCUCUCGUAUUCAAUUCCACAAAUCUUUAUUGUCCGAGGUCGGUACGCUCACAACUCUUUAUAAAAUAAAAUUAUGUUACAACUCAACAAUAUUAUUUAAAAAAAAAAUUGUUAGCAAAAACAAAAGAACAUCCAUAGUGUACAUGGCCCGUGGACAAUUAUUCUUGACAUAAAUACCCUUCAAGCACACAGAGAAAUGAGAAGUAGCUGAGAGAGAUUGAUUGAUACCAUGUCUUUAUUUGUGUCUUCUCUCUUCUGUAAUGAUCUGAAAGUGUGCGAGUGUCUGAGUAGUGUUGUGACUGACAGUAGUGAAAGUGUCGAGUGUGGCUGGUUACCAUGGUGAUGUCGGUACGGUAUUAGUCAGCAUGGCGACGUAGUGACUCAGUGACACAGUCUAAAUUAAAGUUAACAUUUCUAUGUUGUUUCUCACGCUCUCUUUUCUCACUCGGCCUCUACCUUUCUUUCUCUCUGUCUCACUUUCGAUCUCUCUCUCCCUCUCCUCCUCUCUCUCUCUCUCUCUCUCUGUCUCUCUCUCUCUCUCUCUCUCUCUCUCUCUCUCUCUCUCUCUCUCUCUCUCUCUCUCUCUGUCUCUCCAUUGAUUGUUUCAACCUCGCCCCAGAGGUUGAUAGACAAGCCCUUUAGACUGUGUGUCUCAGACGUGGUUAAAGAUCAGGGUUUUGUGUGACAGGGUAGAUGGAGGCUGGGUACAUUCAGACAGGAGAGAGGAGAGUACUGGCCAUACCCCCCCAACGAGACAUGCACUGUUAAAAGGCAUCACUCUCCACGAGGAGCCUCUGGACAGGACAGCAGCAGGAGACCAUGUUAGUCUGAUCGUCACUGGCUUGGACAUCAUCAAGAUUAAGAAAAUACUGUACAUCACAGUUAAUGUAGACCACAGUCUAUAACAUGAAUGUAGACCACAGUCUUUAACAUCAAUGUAGACCACAGUAUAUAACAUGAAUGUGGACCACAGUAAAUAACAUGAAUGAUCCUUUAAACUAGUGUUACUAAUUUGAUGGUUGUAGUCAUCAAUUGACCCGUUAACAAUCACCCAUAUUGUCGCGGCCGAUGCUGGAAGAAGACCAAGGUGCAGCUUGGUCAGCGUACAUAUUCCUUUUAAUUUGAAUGUCGCCAACAUAACAAUAAACAAUACAAAACGACCGUGAAGCUUAACAGGGCUAUGAAGCCUCUAACAAAGUUAACUUCCCACACUGAAAGGAGGGAAAAGGGCUACCUAAGUAUGGUUCCCAAUCAGAGACAACGAUAGACAGCUGUCCCUGAUUGAGAACCAUACCCGGCCAAAACAUAGAAACACAAAAUCAUAGAAGUAAAGGAUAUAGAAUGCCCACCCCAAAUCACACCCUGACCAAACCAUAAAGAGACAUAAGGCUCUCUAAGGUCAUGGCGUGACAGUACCCCCCUCCAAAGGUGCGGACUCCGGCCGCAAAAUCUGAACCUCUAGGGGAGGGUCUGGGUGGGCAUCUAUCCGCGGUGGCGGCUCUGGUGCGGGACAUGGACCCCGCUCCACCUCUGGCUCACCCCACUUUGGUGGCGCCUCUGGUGCGGGGACCCUCAUCGCCGACCCCGGACUUGGGACUCUCGUUGCGGGCCCCGGACUGGGGACCCUCGUUGCGGGCCCUGUAGUGUUAAUGAGCCUCCUCCAGUGUCUGUAUUAACCCUGUACUGUGGUGUUAAUGAGUCUCCUCUAGUGUCUGUAUUAACCCUGUACUGUAGUGUUAAUGAGUCUCCUCCAGUCUGUCUGCAUUAACCCUGUACUGUAAUGUUAAUGAGUCUCCUCCAGUCUGUCUGUAUUAACCCUGUACCAUAGUGUUAAAGUCUCCUCCAGUCUGUCUGUAUUAACCCUGUACUGUAGUGUGAAUGAGUCUCCUCUAGUGUCUGUAUUAACCCUGUAGUGUUAAUGAGUCUCCUCCAGUCUGUCUGUAUUAACCCUGUACUGUAGUGUUAAUGAGUCUCCUCUAGUGUCUGUAUUAACCCUGUACUGUGGUGUUAAUGAGUCUCCUCUAGUGUCUGUAUUAACCCUGUACUGUAAUGUUAAUGAGUCUCCUCUAGUGUCUGUAUUAACCCUGUACUGUAGUGUUAAUGAGUCUCCUCUAGUGUCUGUAUUAACCCUGUACUGUAAUGUUAAUGAGUCUCCUCUAGUGUCUGUAUUAACCCUGUAGUGUUAAUGAGUCUCCUCCAGUCUGUCUGUAUUAACCCUGUACUGUAGUGUUAAUG